AAAUAGGGUUUCUGUCCGCCACCGCCGCUCGCAUCGUCGCCUUCUCCUCAGCUCUUGAGCUCCCACCCCUCUCGCUCGCCAGUCGCCUGUGCCCCGAGCCCCCACUAGCCCGACCUUGGAGGAGGCUGCGGUCACCGGAUCCAGCCAUGGCCGUCACCAACGCCCUCCUCUCCAUCGCCGCAGGCCCAUGUUGGAUUCAGCCGGCGUGCCGGCCGAGCGCGCAACCCUAACCUCAAUUAGGAGCCCGAGGGAGGGGGAGCGGGACUGGAGCUCGAUUCAGCCGCCGUGCCUUGGAUUCAGCCGCUGUGCUAUACCCGGGGGAGGGGGGAGCGGGACUGGAGCUUGAUUUGGACAGGGGGCGGUUUGUGGCUCCCGUGCGCGUUGAAGAUCCGGCGGCGGCCGCGUCCUGCAUCAACGGCGCGACGAGGAAUCAUAGGACAGAUGGGAGAGAUGAGGAGAUGGGAGGAGGAAGGAAGGAACGGGGAGGGACUCACCGACGCGGUGGCGCUCGCCGGAGGCUGGCUGGCGGCAGGGUCACACGAAAACGGCGGCACGCGUGUGGCACCCUCCCCGGCGGCGCGAGCAGGAAGGAGGAGGUGCACAGGAGGCGUAGGUGCUACGGUGAGAUGGGCUUCAGAUGUGCAGCCGGCCCUAGCGCUGCAACUUCUGCAUCAGAGAAGGUGGAAGAUAAUCUGUUCAAUCUUUUCAAAGGUACAUUGGUGAAAUGCAGCAACCAGAUAAAAGAAAUGCAUUACUCCAUCACCACACUGAUGCUCCAUCUCCCUCUGAUGGCAAGUGCGACCCUGAUGAAGCUGCUCCCCUACAUCAAGGACUACCCCAACUGUGCGGCCUUGAUGGCACAACUCCCAUACACCAAGGACUAGCCCCAUGGUGCGGCCACGACAUCACUGCUCCCCUACACCGCCGACUACAACCUGAGAUCUUAGAACAGGUUUGCAGGUUCAUUGGAACAAAUGUUCAAAAGGAAGAUGCACAGUAAGAAUUACAGUAAGAAGUUCAACUACGAGCCCAGACAUGAGGUAUUUUAACCGCCAACAGAGGGUGUGUUGCGCUAAAAAUUAGUAAUCUUCGCUCCAAAUUCUUAGGUCACUGGCCCAGGUUAGUGCCCAUUGUCAUUGUGCAUCUCUGUUAACUAUUUUAGAACUAGCACAAAUCUGAGUAGGGCUGGAACAAAAUGAACACCCAGGGUUCGAGUACCUCUACUAUGAUAUAAUUAUCUUCCAAACAGGUGUCAUUUCCUUAUCAAGAUGGUUCUCGUGAUUUAGGAAAACUAACAACACCUCAAUGGUCUUCGCACUAGAUUAGCUGUAGGAUCCAUUUUCUGGAGCAUUUUGAUUUUGGUGGACUAUUUAGAUACUUCCAUACAUACACUUUACUGAAGGUUAUUUUGACGGACCGUUAGCUUGGAAGCUUUUCCAUACUUUUUGUAACUAUCCUUCAGCAAAACUAGAUGCAGUUUGUGUUGUGAUGAAAUUAAGAUUGCUCACAAUAUUUUGCAGGAUAAAAUUAAUUACAAUGUAAGUUCUUUGGUGUGUGAUCCAUUACAAUACAGGAAGUUUGUGGUUUAUGCCAUAAAAUUUCAGUUAAUAUUUGGUACAUGAAGUGAUCUAAGUCUGCCACACUGUUUGCAUUUGUAGCUUGCUUUGUUUAAUAAAUAGAUUGAUCUUAUUUUCUAUAAACUUUUUUAUUUAACCUACUAACUUCAAAUACAUUAUAUUUGAUCCUUCAAGGGGCAAAAUAGUUCAGCUCUUUGUUUUACAAGUUUCAGGAUUGAAGGGGGAGAUGCUACAACAGUACAACUACAAGUUCCCUUGCUUCUUUGUAAGGGAACCAAUCAACUAACUUAAUGAGAUUGAUGCACGAGAGCUUCUAGAUGUUCUUCUCGAUCUUGAAUAUUCAUUUUCUCCAACUAUGCAAGAUUUGCUUGUGUAUAAGUUUGAUAAGGCCAGGGGCAAGAACAAAGUGGUUGAUUCAUUGAGUAAGUUCAUCCCUCAGUUAGUUUAACUUGGCUGCUUGUGUCCCAUAAGGUUGUACAACCUUUUGCAGCAUCUAAUCUACUAACACAUGGUUAGAUUGAAUUUGUGUAGUUUCUCAUUGUAUUCAUGCUUUGUAGUCACCGUAUCAAAUUUAUUUAAUUGCUUCAGUUAAUUCCAUUGGUUAAUAUGUACUCUUUACUUUAUUUGGUUACAAAUAUAAACCUGCAUUACUCAUGCCCUUGAUAUAUAAUAUCAUUCGUUCAGGGUGGUUGAAUCCACUAUAGGGAGUUCUUUAAAUUCGCAUGUUGUGUUAGUGCAUUGUAAUUUGUUUGGUACAUACGCUGCAAUCAAUUAGCAGCCACAAGCUUUCCUUUUUCUUUAGCACUAUUUUUUCAACUGCAAUUGAUGCUUUCAUUACAGUUAGUUUUAUUUUUCCAGAUGAAGUAUGCGUUAUGUACAGUCCUCCAGAAUUCAGAAAUUGAUCUAUAAUUCUGUGAAGAGAAGGUUUUCAAACCCAAAGGAACAUUGGCAACCUUAGGGACUUGGGCGCCAACGUGUAGUCCCAGCAGAAGUUGCUCACCCGGAAGGUGGUCUUCUCCAAGGCCUCCCUAGCCUUUGAACAAGACCGCUCCAUCAAGGGUAAACCAUUGAGUGGCAAUGAUACAUGUGUGUCCAUACGACAUAGUGAUUAGCAGCAUGAGGUGCUGAGCACAUCGCGUGUGUGUCUGUAUGUGUGCGCUGAUAUGUGGUUCAUGAGGAACAAACUGAUUAAGCAUGCUCCAAAGCUACGAGCGACUGAACUAGGUUGAAACCAAGAGGGCAUUGUAAACUUUGAUGACACUUUGUGGGAAACCAAUUACUUCAUGGCCAGAGGUGAUUUUGGAAUGGAGAUUUCAGUUGAGAAGAUAUCCCUUGCACAGAAAAUGAUGAUCUACAAGUGCAACCUUGCUGGUGAGCCUGUUGUCACAGCGAUUGUAGGCAACAUCCAUUCCAAUUGUCCAUUGGUUUAACUGCAGUUUUUUAUGUACAACUUAUACGCCGGACAGAUUUUUUUUACUUGCCCUGAUGAAGCUGUAGACUAUACACAUAAGUUGCUGAUUUUGCAUGCUAUACUUGUGUAAAUGUUGUUCCACCUUCCCACUUUGUAAUUUCAUGGCCAUUUCAGAUGAUCUAGACAUUUAAUGUAUGGAAUUUACAUUGGCACUAAAUAAGGAAUAUUGAAAGAUAGUAUGCCACAAUAUCUGUUAUGAGGUAAAAAAUAAUAAUUUUCUCACUUUAAUAUUUUA